UCAUCUCGCCCUUGGCCGGCCCGGCCCGUGCCCGCCGCCGCCGCCAUGUUGAGCGCCCGCCGCCUCCUGCGCCUCGCCGCGCUGCCGCCGCCCUGGGCCCGCUCCUACGCCGAGCCCGCGGCCGGCCCGGCCGCCAUGGCCUUCACCUUCGCCUCCCCCACGCAGGUGUUCUAUAACGGCGCGGCCGUGAGGCAGGUGGACGUGCCCACCCUCACCGGCUCCUUCGGCAUCCUGGCGGCUCACGUCCCCACGCUGCAGGUCCUCAAGCCCGGCGUGGUGACGGUGUACGGCGAGGACGGGACGGCCACCAAGUACUUCGUGAGCAGCGGCUCCGUCACGGUGAACGCGGACUCCACGGUGCAGGUGCUGGCGGAGGAGGCGGUGACGAUGGACAUGCUGGACCUGGCCACUGCUAAAUCAAACCUGGAGAAGGCCAUUUCUGAGGUGGCUGCUGCGUCCGACGAAGCUGCUAAGGCAGAAGCUCAGAUUAAAGUCGAAGCCAACGAAGCCCUUGUGAAAGCCCUGGAGUAGUCUGUCGGAAGGCUUUCUGCACGGCAGCGCUGUGCCUGGCAGGUGAGUCACGGAGCCUCAGACGGCCUCUCCGGAGCAGCUCCGCCUCUGUGUGUUGCAGGAAUCCCACUGUCGCUGCAGAGAAACCCCAGCCUGUCCUACUUGUUCUGGCUUCCCCGUUUGUACAGAUGGUGCGGGACAAAUGGAGGCGGAGGAGCCGCUCUGAUCAAUUAAAAGGAAACGCAGUCCUGUCU